CAUGCAAGUCGAACGCCCCGCAAGGGGAGUGGCAGACGGGUGAGUAACGCGUGGGAAUCUACCCAGUUCUACGGAACAACACAGGGAAACUUGUGCUAAUACCGUAUACGCCCCAAGGGGGAAAGAUUUAUCGGAAUUGGAUGAGCCCGCGUUGGAUUAGCUAGUUGGUGGGGUAAUGGCCUACCAAGGCGACGAUCCAUAGCUGGUCUGAGAGGAUGAUCAGCCACACUGGGACUGAGACACGGCCCAGACUCCUACGGGAGGCAGCAGUGGGGAAUAUUGGACAAUGGGCGAAAGCCUGAUCCAGCCAUGCCGCGUGAGUGAUGAAGGCCUUAGGGUUGUAAAGCUCUUUCAGUGGGGACGAUAAUGACGGUACCCACAGAAGAAGCCCCGGCUAACUUCGUGCCAGCAGCCGCGGUAAUACGAAGGGGGCUAGCGUUGUUCGGAUUUACUGGGCGUAAAGCGCACGUAGGCGGAUCGUUAAGUGAGGGGUGAAAUCCCAGGGCUCAACCCUGGAACUGCCUUUCAUACUGGCGAUCUUGAGUCCGGAAGAGGUGAGUGGAACUCCUAGUGUAGAGGUGGAAUUCGUAGAUAUUAGGAAGAACACCAGUGGCGAAGGCGGCUCACUGGUCCGGUACUGACGCUGA
rnacentral:rRNA from 1 species